rnacentral:rRNA from 1 species
UUCCAGGUGUAGCGGUGAAAUGCGUAGAGAUCUGGAGGAAUACCGGUGGCGAAGGCGGCCCCCUGGACGAAGACUGACGCUCAGGUGCGAAAGCGUGGGGAGCAAACAGGAUUAGAUACCCUGGUAGUCCACGCCGUAAACGAUGUCGACUUGGAGGUUGUGCCCUUGAGGCGUGGCUUCCGGAGCUAACGCG